AAAUUGAAGAGUUUGAUCAUGGCUCAGAUUGAACGCUGGCGGCAGGCCUAACACAUGCAAGUCGAGCGGUAGCACAGAGAGCUUGCUCUCGGGUGACGAGCGGCGGACGGGUGAGUAAUGUCUGGGAAACUGCCUGAUGGAGGGGGAUAACUACUGGAAACGGUGGCUAAUACCGCAUAAUGUCGCAAGACCAAAGUGGGGGACCUUCGGGCCUCAUGCCAUCAGAUGUGCCCAGAUGGGAUUAGCUAGUAGGUGGGGUAACGGCUCACCUAGGCGACGAUCCCUAGCUGGUCUGAGAGGAUGACCAGCCACACUGGAACUGAGACACGGUCCAGACUCCUACGGGAGGCAGCAGUGGGGAAUAUUGCACAAUGGGCGCAAGCCUGAUGCAGCCAUGCCGCGUGUGUGAAGAAGGCCUUCGGGUUGUAAAGCACUUUCAGCGGGGAGGAAGGCGUUAAGGUUAAUAACCUUGGCGAUUGACGUUACCCGCAGAAGAAGCACCGGCUAACUCCGUGCCAGCAGCCGCGGUAAUACGGAGGGUGCAAGCGUUAAUCGGAAUUACUGGGCGUAAAGCGCACGCAGGCGGUCUGUCAAGUCGGAUGUGAAAUCCCCGGGCUCAACCUGGGAACUGCAUUCGAAACUGGCAGGCUAGAGUCUUGUAGAGGGGGGUAGAAUUCCAGGUGUAGCGGUGAAAUGCGUAGAGAUCUGGAGGAAUACCGGUGGCGAAGGCGGCCCCCUGGACAAAGACUGACGCUCAGGUGCGAAAGCGUGGGGAGCAAACAGGAUUAGAUACCCUGGUAGUCCACGCCGUAAACGAUGUCGAUUUGGAGGUUGUGCCCUUGAGGCGUGGCUUCCGGAGCUAACGCGUUAAAUCGACCGCCUGGGGAGUACGGCCGCAAGGUUAAAACUCAAAUGAAUUGACGGGGGCCCGCACAAGCGGUGGAGCAUGUGGUUUAAUUCGAUGCAACGCGAAGAACCUUACCUGGUCUUGACAUCCACAGAACUUUCCAGAGAUGGAUUGGUGCCUUCGGGAACUGUGAGACAGGUGCUGCAUGGCUGUCGUCAGCUCGUGUUGUGAAAUGUUGGGUUAAGUCCCGCAACGAGCGCAACCCUUAUCCUUUGUUGCCAGCGGUUAGGCCGGGAACUCAAAGGAGACUGCCAGUGAUAAACUGGAGGAAGGUGGGGAUGACGUCAAGUCAUCAUGGCCCUUACGACCAGGGCUACACACGUGCUACAAUGGCAUAUACAAAGAGAAGCGACCUCGCGAGAGCAAGCGGACCUCAUAAAGUAUGUCGUAGUCCGGAUUGGAGUCUGCAACUCGACUCCAUGAAGUCGGAAUCGCUAGUAAUCGUAGAUCAGAAUGCUACGGUGAAUACGUUCCCGGGCCUUGUACACACCGCCCGUCACACCAUGGGAGUGGGUUGCAAAAGAAGUAGGUAGCUUAACCUUCGGGAGGGCGCUUACCACUUUGUGAUUCAUGACUGGGGUGAAGUCGUAACAAGGUAACCGUAGGGGAACCUGCGGUUGGAUCACCUCCUUACCUUAAAGAA
rnacentral:rRNA from 1 species